rnacentral:misc_RNA from 1 species
AAUUCUCAACCCCUCUCGAUUUGCUUCGAGAGGGCGCUUGGAUGGUGGAGGCUGCCGGAGACCUGGAUUCGUUCAGGACUCGGGCUCCUCUGAAAUGAAUCGGCUUGCGGUCGACCUUCGACUUUGCAUGACAAGGCCUUUGGCGUGAUAAUGAUCGCCGUUCGCCGAAGUGCACGACAGAAAACGGUCCCGCGCCUCUAAUGCGUCGACGCCUUCCGGGCGUCUUCCUCAUUGAC